CAGUCGAGCGGACCGACGGGAGCUUGCUCCCUUAGGUCAGCGGCGGACGGGUGAGUAACACGUGGGUAACCUGCCUGUAAGACUGGGAUAACUCCGGGAAACCGGGGCUAAUACCGGAUGCUUGAUUGAACCGCAUGGUUCAAUUAUAAAAGGUGGCUUUUAGCUACCACUUACAGAUGGACCCGCGGCGCAUUAGCUAGUUGGUGAGGUAACGGCUCACCAAGGCAACGAUGCGUAGCCGACCUGAGAGGGUGAUCGGCCACACUGGGACUGAGACACGGCCCAGACUCCUACGGGAGGCAGCAGUAGGGAAUCUUCCGCAAUGGACGAAAGUCUGACGGAGCAACGCCGCGUGAGUGAUGAAGGUUUUCGGAUCGUAAAACUCUGUUGUUAGGGAAGAACAAGUACCGUUCGAAUAGGGCGGUACCUUGACGGUACCUAACCAGAAAGCCACGGCUAACUACGUGCCAGCAGCCGCGGUAAUACGUAGGUGGCAAGCGUUGUCCGGAAUUAUUGGGCGUAAAGCGCGCGCAGGCGGUUUCUUAAGUCUGAUGUGAAAGCCCCCGGCUCAACCGGGGAGGGUCAUUGGAAACUGGGGAACUUGAGUGCAGAAGAGGAGAGUGGAAUUCCACGUGUAGCGGUGAAAUGCGUAGAGAUGUGGAGGAACACCAGUGGCGAAGGCGACUCUCUGGUCUGUAACUGACGCUGAGGCGCGAAAGCGUGGGGGAGCGAACAGGAUUAGAUACCCUGGUAGUCCACGCCGUAAACGAUGAGUGCUAAGUGUUAGAGGGUUUCCGCCCUUUAGUGCUGCAGCAAACGCAUUAAGCACUCCGCCUGGGG
rnacentral:rRNA from 1 species